CAUCAGGAGGCUCUGGGAGGAAUCUGUUUCCAAGCUCAUUCAGAUUAUUGGUCCAAUUAGGUCAAACAGUUAGGAACCUACGUGGCUCUCCCAUCGCUCUCUUCUUCUACAACGACGAUGCUAACAUCCGUGUGUCCUAGAUGGAGAACUGCAAGAUAGAGGAGGGCUGCUUAACCCAUAUUGGAUUGUAAAAAGAAGGAAGCGACUGAAAACUGAGUGACAGGACGUGUGGAGUGUGGUAGUGACGAUGGAACACAUCAGAUUUUCCAUGUACUCCUCAACAUUUCUUAGCCAAAAUUUCCAUGCUGUGCUAAAGGGGAGAAAAAAACCCACGGCAUUGUCAGAAUUGCCGCCUUCCACUUUAUGAACCCUGAAGUAAUGGAGCUACAAGAGGUAGGAGCGGGAGCCUGGUAUUGACUGUGAAGACAUUCUGCAUCGGUUGGCUGUGAGCUGGGGUAUCGUUUUCCCUCCCAUCCUGGCACCUGGAUAAUAUUAAAUUCGAACCUUUGAUUUGAUUGAUACACCUCAGCAGCAGAACAUUUACACACUUAUGUCAUAAAAGCAAAGUGAAAUAUAUCACUGAACGCGGCCCUGCAAGGCACAUCGUCAAAAUCAAAUGACGUUAGCAUCAAUUUCACAGUUAUUUAAAAAGCAUACAAACUUGCACACACGCGCACACACAAACU